AUUUAAGUUCUAAAAUAACUUGUUCUGAAUUCCAUGGAAAAUGCAAACAAUUGUUAUCAAUAAGAGCUGUCAUUAUAUUUCCAAAUUUGAACGUGCCGAUCUAAUUUCACUUGAUAUUAGUUUAACAGGGCAAAUAUUGAAGCUAUGUCUCCCUAUUAAGGUUUUCUGGUAUUGUCUGUAAAAUUCAGCUGUCUAUUUCUUCUUGAACAUAAACUCUUGUGUUUUU